rnacentral:lncRNA from 1 species
UUAAGAUUCCGAGAUUCCACUGCAGGGGGCGUGGAUUCGAUCCCUGGUCAGGGAACUGAGAUCCCGCAUGCUUUAUGGCAGAAGCAAAAAGAAAAUAUUAACCAAAAAUAAAUAAAAGAGACCCCGGAAGCUCCCUCACCCCUGCACCCACAUGAGACGGCAGGCUGUGACCCAGGAAGCAGUUCCUCACCAGACACCAAAUCUGCCAACCUGCCUUGAUCUUGGACUGCCCGGCUUCGGAACUGUGAGAAAUGAACUCACGUUGUGUCUAAGCCUCCAGUCUCUGGGAGUUUGUUAGAGCCGCCUGAGUGGACCACAGUGGUGGGUCUACAAAAGACAGCAAGCAGCCGCGAUGCCCUGCCAGACCACAGACGCUCGUGUAAAGUCCUCAUCGGAAAUGUCAGCUGGCAGAGGCUUUGAAUGGUCGUCGGAAACUUACUACCGGGCGAGCAGUGACGCCGAGGGGCAAGGAGAGCUGAAAGGCAAGAUCAGAUGAGCCUUCACAAUGGUAAAGAGCCAGCUUCCUUGCGCUGGGACCCACAGAGGUUACAGCAAGACCCUGGGAGACCAGAUGUCCGGUCGCACUGUUUCCUGGAACACGAGCUUCAGCAUCUGGAGUGGGUCCUUGCUGCAACUCCAGGAGUUUGGCCAAGAACCCGCUAAGAGGCAGUUGCCUCUUGGUCCUGCCUGGUCCUGCCGCCCGCCUUCUCCUCGAUGGGGCUCCCCGUCUCCUGACUCAGCCCGGAGCCUGCUUGGUCAUUCUGCAACAAAGGCCCAGCUCUCCCAGUAAAGAACCGAACUCCUCUCGCUCCAGAAAUAAAUUGUAUACGUCUGCCUGCCUGUGGCCUCACGUCUCUUCCUCUCCCUUCUCAGCACGAGGCUCGGGUUCUUUAUAAUUCAUCAAAAAGGCCACACGUAAUGAGCUCCACUCUUAACUGCAGCUAGGGCUGACGACUUACUUUUUAAGAACCCUUACAUCUGUGUCAUCCAGAGUCAGGUAUGGGGGUGAGUUGGCACCACCCUCUUCCUGAGGACCAGUCAUGUAUAAGGGGCUGGGCUGGGGGCUUCCCUAGAAGCAGUCUCACAGAAUCCUCUUGACAACACUGGAAGGAAGGUGCCUGCCUGCCCGUUCUGCAGGUGCGAAAACUGAGGCACCAUGAGGUUUAGUGUCUCAUCUGAGGUCUCUUGGCAGAUGUCCAGUAAAGAGUCAGCCUCAUCCGAAGAGACGUCUGGACUUUGCUCUCAGCUCCUAGAAGGUGAUCUCUAAGCCCUUGGAAUGUCCUGCCCAAUAAGUUUGUCUUUCUGGGGGGUCUUAGACCGUGUCAGAAAGUCCAACAGCAAGAUUUAGGGUGGGGGCUUUGAGCCUUCAAUAUCAGUUUGACCUCCAGAGGGGCUGGCAACCAUGCCCAGCCACGUCAGAAGUCAGCCACAUCUAAGUGAUGGAGCCCCAGUAGAGACUGGACACCAAGCCAGGGAGCAUCUCUGACGGCGUGCCUCUGUGUGUUGUCAUGUCACUGCCUGGAGAUGUUAGUGUGUCCCCAGCCUUCCUGGGAUGGGGCAGCCGCCCGCCCUCCUGGACUCUGCCCCAGGUGUGUCUGCCCUUGGCUGAGCUUAAUCUGAACCUCUUGCUGUAAUAAACCCUAACCACCAGCACAAGCACCUGGGGCUUCCCAGGUGGCACUAGUGGUGAAGAACUCGCCUUCCAAUGCAAGAGACUGUAAGAGACGUGGGUUCGAUCCCUGGGUUGGGAAGAUUCCCUGGAAGAGGGCAUGACAACCCACUCCAGUAUUCUUGCCUGGAGAAUCCCACAGACAGAGGAGCCUGGCGGGCUACAGUCCACGGGGUCACAAGGAGUCAGACACGACAGAGUGACUUAGCACACACGC